GACGAACGCUGGCGGCGUGCUUAACACAUGCAAGUCGAACGGUAAGGCCCUUCGGGGUACACGAGCGGCGAACGGGUGAGUAACACGUGGGUGAUCUGCCCUGCACUUCGGGAUAAGCCUGGGAAACUGGGUCUAAUACCGGGUAGGACCACUGCCUGCAUGGGUGGGGGUGGAAAGCUUUUGCGGUGGGGGAUGGGCCCGCGGCCGAUCAGCGUGUUGGUGGGGUGAUGGCCUACCAAGGCGACGACGGGUAGCCGGCCUGAGAGGGUGACCGGCCACACUGGGACUGAGAUACGGCCCAGACUCCUACGGGAGGCAGCAGUGGGGAAUAUUGCACAAUGGGCGCAAGCCUGAUGCAGCGACGCCGCGUGAGGGAUGACGGCCUUCGGGUUGUAAACCUCUUUCAGCACCGACGAAGCGCAAGUGACGGUAGGUGCAGAAGAAGGACCGGCCAACUACGUGCCAGCCGCCGCAGUAA
rnacentral:rRNA from 1 species